UACAGAGGUCCCAAGCGUUGUUCGGAUUCACUGGGCGUAAAGGGUGCGUAGGCGGUUUGGUAAGUUUGGCGUGAAAGCCCCGGGCCCAACCCGGGAAUGGCGCUGAAAACUAUCGAACUGGAGGAUUGGAGGGGGGACUGGAAUUCCUGGUGUAGCAGUGAAAUGCGUAGAUAUCAAGAGGAACAUCAGUGGCGAAGGCGGGUCCCUGGACAAAUCCUGACGCUGAGGCACGAAAGCUAGGGGAGCAAACAGG
rnacentral:rRNA from 1 species